UAUUCAUCAUAGCUUGUUGUUCAAUUCCUAACCUUCAUUUUUCUUAUUUGAAAUGGUAUAAUAAACAGAUAUAGAAACCAAUGAAUGCUUGGAAAAUAAUGGUUGAUGCCGGCUUGAUAAGGCUGCUAAUAUUACUGCUUGCAAGGACACAUUCUGGGGACGAAUGUGUGAAGACCAUGUUGCAGACGAAGUGAAAUUUGUGGGUGAUGCGUAUACUCAUUGCGAAGUUUCCGGAGCUGCACGCUGUGAAAUCAACAACAGGGGUUGUUGGAAAAAAAAAAUCCUAAAUGGCAGGACUUACUCUGCUUGCAUUGAAGAUCAUACCAAUGGUUGCAUAUGUCCCGAAGGAUUCAAGGGUGACGGGGUCAAAGAAUGUGAAGG